ensembl:lncRNA
CAGCUCUGUUGGUGGUGCCAUUUUGCCACAGGAGACUCUGGUUUGACGCACCCCAGGCAAGGCCUCUGCAUGCAACACCCAAGAACAAAUGAGACUAGAUGAAGAACAAAGGAAAAGGAAGAAGGUCAAGAGGGGAAGAAUUAAUGCCUUUGUGUGGUGGAAUAAAUGCCUUCCCAAUGGCUUCAAAGAAGAGCUUUGCCUCCCUAGAACUUCAUGUUACAUACAAGGGAGAAUUGGUUUUGGAAGAAGUUAAAUUGGCUGCAAAAAGUUACAGUGUUAGCAGGACAUGGGUGUAUGCAAAGGAGAAGAGGACAUUUAGGAAAUGAGGGCCACAACUGUGGCAUAUGGGAGAUCCCAGACUACAGGUCCAAUUGGAGCUACAGCUGCUGGCCUAGACCACAACCACAGCAACAAGGUAGGGUCCAAACCACAUCUGUAGCCUACGCCAUAGCUCACUGUGAUGCCGGAUUCCUGACCCACUGAGCCAGGGAUAGAACCCACAUCCUCAUGAAUACUAAUUGUAUUCCUUUCCACUGCAUCACAGUGGAAACGCCCAGUCUUAAUUCUAAAGUGUCAUGAUUUUAAAUCCUCAAAACAGCAUUGAGGAAAAAUCAGUAAUCUAAAUGUACUCAAAGCAUUGCAAUUCCAUUAAUAAACUUUUUUAAUGU